GAACCAACUGGUAACAGGUCAUUUGGUCCACUAGGCGCUCCCAGCAAGAGCCCGAACCUCCAGGGGUGCAGAAUACUCUGUCAGACCAGGCAAGAUUGGGAAGAAGAGCUGGAGCAUGGAAUCCCAGGCCUCUGAGAAUGGAAGCCAGACCUCCUCCGGGGUGACAGAUGACUACAGCAGCUGGUACAUCGAGGAACCUCUAGGAGCUGAGGAGGUGCAGCCAGCCCACUGUACCGCCUGCCCUGCACCAUGCCUGCUUGGCCUCACUGUCGCUCCUGGCUCUGCUGCUGCUGGCCUUACUGGUGAGACGUCGCAGGCUUUGGCCACACUGUGCUCAUUGCAGACCUGGACUGCCCAGCCCUGUGGAUUUCUUGGCUGGGAACCGAUCCUGGACAGUUCCUACUGCUGUC
rnacentral:lncRNA from 1 species